ACUUAAUGCUGAAUGUGUAUCACAGGCCAUGGUAAAAGGCUUCAAGUUGGAGGGGCAAGCAUAAAGAUGAUGAUGAUGAGAAUUUUAAUGAGUUUCUCCAGGGAAUGUUUCCAUGAUAUGUCCUCAAGGAAUCGGAUGGUUAACAUUGGCAUAAUGGAGCGUCCGAUGGCAUGGUUUAGCUGUGCUGUUAUAAUUGUAUGCA